AAUAGCUCCAAGUUGAUGGGAAGGCUUUCUGCUAGGUUAUUUUCGAUCUGAUUUUUCUUUUCAAUCUCUAUAUUCGCUUUUCUAUUUGUUAAGGUCCAUGCAUGUUUGAGAUUGUAGAGAUUUGUUAGGGUUCAUGUAUGUAGAAUUCAAGUUUUUGUUAGGUUUUUUCUUUCUUUUAAAUUUGAGUUACAUUUUGUUAUUUUAGUUCUCGGACAGCAAAUCGAGAGUAUAAGUUGAAAAUUCAGAAUAGUAUAGUCUUUUUUAUUUCAUCCACUCCUCGAUUAGACACAGAAGAUCAUUAAAAAGGUUUUUUCAGACAUGCCAUUGUUAUUUUUCCAGUAGUUCUUUAUAGAUGUGCUCAUGUCAUGUUUGUUUUGGAUGGUGUUUGGCUGAGAAGUAACAUUCCUUUCCUUGCAUGAUCUCACUGAUAUUGUAAUUCUAUUUUGACAUAUAGUCCAUGUUUAUGUGUAAGUCAAUACUGGACAAGUAAUUAUUGACUUAGUAUAUCUUUAAAUCAUCAUUCUAAUUAUUGCUAAUCUAAGAGUGAUUUAGUAAAAUUAUCAUUCUAUUAUUGCUCCUUAAGGGGUAAAAUCAUCAGUCUAUUAUGAUUUUUUGUUCUGCUUUCUACAAGAAACAAACCAAAACAAAUGAAAUCCUUUUAUAAGAGGUAAAUCAGAGAUAAAAGAAAAUAGUAGGAAAAGAAAGAGAGUACUUUAAGGGAGUUGGAAGGAUAGAAGGAUUAGAUGAAUAAGGCAAUGGAGGAGAUGCGAGAAUAGUUGUUUCUACCAUGGUUAAGCCUCCUUUUUUAUUUUAGCUCAUAUCCUCUAAUCCAAAAAUCAAAGUGACUUUUUACUACUGAGCUUGAGUUGAAAUAGAACAUAAAUUUCCUGUUUGUUUAAGUUGAGGGACAACUGAUAUUCGAGGCUAUAUGUGUGAAAGCUUACAACUUUUUUAAUAUGUAGAGAUGCCGAAGCAAAAUCCAUAUAAAAAUAUGUUCAAAUCAGUCGAGAGCUCUUCACUUGCUUCAGGACAGUGGUCACAGUUUCAACAUCAGGGUCAAGCUUCAUCUUCAUCAUCACAAUAAAAAUUGAAGUUAUCAAGUUCCAUCUUUAUCAUCCGAUGGAGUGUCUUCACAGUCUGUCGCUCCAUCUACAUCUGAUGGAGUUUCUUCAAAGCCAAUCAAACAUAAAAAUGAAGACAAUCGUGACUAGUUUGUCGAUGUUAUAGGUACAUAGAUGAACGACGAUAACUUGUUUAAAAUACUGCUAUAUUUACCUAUCAACUUUUUUUUUAAAUUACUAUUUAUCUAUCAACUUGUUGUUUUGUUCAUGGGUAAAUCUAUUGUUAGCUUGAUCUUUAUUUUAUUUAAGAUCAACAUUAAGUGAUAAAAAUGAUUAGAUUGAAGCUUAAGGAUGUUCAUAACUUGGAAAAUGGAUUGCGGAUAAUUGUAGAAUGUAAUGAAUAUGGUGUACCUAUUGGAAAAGCAGCUGGCAUAAUUGCGGGAGUUAUUUAGUAUGGAUUUCCAUCUGGUGCAGCAGAAUUCGCUUCUUGGUUAGUUUCCACACAGUGAAAUUGGUUUUCUUUAAUUCAUUUCCCUCAUUUUGAUUUUUAGAUCUUCUUUUACGUUACACCAAUUGUACAUUUGUUUUGGGCUGCUACUGAUGGUUCUUUAUUUUCAGUUGGUACUGGCACAUGAGAGAUUAUGCUUUGGGAAUUGGGUUCUAGGGAGAGGAUUGCUAACAGAAAUUUCAAGAUUUGGGAUCUUUCACAAUGUUCAGUGGCUCUACAGGUACGUUUGGAACUUGUUGAUUGCAUUCACACUUGUUUAUCAUUUAUGGUCAUAUGGAUGGUUUAUAAGUCUCAUAGUUACCAAUUUAUUAUCUGAACAACAACCAGGCAUCUAUGGCAAGUGAGUACUUUGCAUCAGUUAGCCGUGUAAUGUGGAGUCCUGAUGACACAUUAGUCAUGCUCACUAAUGUGUAGAUUCUCUUUAUGGAUUGUUUCUCACAGGUCUUAAAGUUUAUCACAGUUUGAUAUAUUAUUGUCUAUUUUCUUCUCUGUUUAUGUUUUACAGUUUAAUGUGCUCUUUUCACUCUGCUAGCACAAAUAAAUAGGAAUUGAAUAGCUGGUUAAGUUUCAUAUGCUCUUUUCACUCUGCUAAGAUUGAAUAGCAGAUGUCAGCUUGCCCGCCAAUUAAUAUUUAUUUUUUCAGGCAUCAGAUGUAGGAAGUGGUGCUCAUCUGUCACCAAUUGGACCAAGCAUCGAUUAGAAACCUUGAAAUGCAAGCAACAAUGAUGAUGGAUCAAACAUCGAUUAGAAAUCAUUUUUUGUAUCUUUUCUUUUUUUUUGGAUAUUCUUGGUGAAUGAUACUUUGAAACUAGUAUUUUAUGAUGUAAUUCUUCAAAACAUUAGUAUUUUGAUGAUGUAAUUUUGAAGUACUUUUGUUUUAUAUGAUGAAUAAAUUGCUUA
rnacentral:lncRNA from 1 species